rnacentral:rRNA from 1 species
UACAGAGGUGGCAAGCGUUGUUCGGAAUUACUGGGCGUAAAGGGCGCGUAGGUGGCCAUCUAAGUCAGACGUGAAAUCCCCCGGCUUAACCUGGGAACUGCGUCUGAUACUGGACGGCUAGAGUAUGGGAGAGGAAUGUAGAAUUCCAGGUGUAGCGGUGAAAUGCGUAGAUAUCAGGAGGAACACCGGUGGCGAAGGCGGCCUUCUGGACGGCUACUGACACUGAGACGCGAAAGCGUGGGGAGCAAACAGG